rnacentral:rRNA from 1 species
UACGAAGGGGGCUAGCGUUGCUCGGAAUGACUGGGCGUAAAGGGCGCGUAGGCGGAUGGCACAGUCAGAUGUGAAAUUCCUGGGCUCAACCUGGGGGCUGCGUUUGAUACGUGCAGACUUGAGUUCGGAAGAGGGUCGUGGAAUUCCCAGUGUAGAGGUGAAAUUCGUAGAUAUUGGGAAGAACACCGGUGGCGAAGGCGGCGACCUGGUCCGAUACUGACGCUGAGGCGCGAAAGCGUGGGGAGCAAACAGG